UUGCCCUAGUAACGGCGAGUGAAGCGGCAACAGCUCAAAUUUGAAAGCUAGCCUUCGGGUUCGCAUUGUAAUUUGUAGAGGAUGAUUUGGGGAAGCCGCCUGUCUAAGUUCCUUGGAACAGGACGUCAUAGAGGGUGAGAAUCCCGUAUGUGACAGGAAAUGGCACCCUAUGUAAAUCUCCUUCGACGAGUCGAGUUGUUUGGGAAUGCAGCUCUAAAUGGGAGGUAAAUUUCUUCUAAAGCUAAAUAUUGGCGAGAGACCGAUAGCGCACAAGUAGAGUGAUCGAAAGAUGAAAAGCACUUUGGAAAGAGAGUUAAAAAGCACGUGAAAUUGUUGAAAGGGAAGCGCUUGCAAUCAGACUUGUUUAAACUGUUCGGCCGGUCUUCUGACCGGUUUACUCAGUUUGGACAGGCCAGCAUCAGUUUCGGCGGCCGGAUAAAGGCUCUGGGAAUGUGGCCUCCACUUCGGUGGAGGUGUUAUAGCCCAGGGUGUAAUACGGCCAGCCGGGACUGAGGUCCGCGCUUCGGCUAGGAUGCUGGCGUAAUGGUUGUAAGCGACCCGUCUUGAAACACGGACCAAGGAGUCUAACAUCUAUGCGAGUGUUCGGGUGUCAAACCCCUGCGCGUAAUGAAAGUGAACGGAGGUGGGAACCCGCAAGGGUGCACCAUCGACCGAUCCUGAUGUCUUCGGAUGGAUUUGAGUAAGAGCAUAGCUGUUGGGACCCGAAAGAUGGUGAACUAUGCCUGAAUAGGGUGAAGCCAGAGGAAACUCUGGUGGAGGCUCGCAGCGGUUCUGACGUGCAAAUCGAUCGUCAAAUUUGGGUAUAGGGGCGAAAGACU
rnacentral:rRNA from 1 species